UAGGGAAUCUUCCACAAUGGACGCAAGUCUGAUGGAGCAACGCCGCGUGAGUGAAGAAGGUUUUCGGACCGUAAAGCUCUGUUGUUGGUGAAGAAGGAUAGAGGUAGUAACUGGCCUUUAUUUGACGGUAAUCAACCAGAAAGUCGCGGCUAACUACGUGCCAGCAGCCGCGGUAAUACGUAGGUGGCAAGCGUUGUCCGGAUUUAUUGGGCGUAAAGCGAGCGCAGGCGGAAGAAUAAGUCUGAUGUGAAAGCCCUCGGCUUAACCGAGGAAUUGCAUCGGAAACUGUUUUCUUGAGUGCAGAAGAGGAGAGUAGAACUCCAUGUGUAGCGGUGGAAUGCGUAGAUAUAUGGAAGAAUACCAGUGGCGAAGGCGGCUCUCUGGUCUGCAACUGACGCUGAGGCUCGAAAGCAUGGGUAGCGAACAGGAUUAGAUACCCUGGUAGUCCAUGCCGUAAACGAUGAGUGCUAAGUGUUGGGAGGCUUCCGCCUCUCAGUGCUGCAGCUAACGCAUUAAGCACUCCGCCUGGGGGAGUACGACCGCAAGGUUGAAAC
rnacentral:rRNA from 1 species